rnacentral:rRNA from 1 species
AGGUUAAUGAGGCGAACCGGGGGAACUGAAACAUCUAAGUACCCCGAGGAAAAGAAAUCAACCGAGAUUCCCCCAGUAGCGGCGAGCGAACGGGGAGGAGCCCAGAGCCUGAAUCAGUGUGUGUGUUAGUGGAAGCGUCUGGAAAGGCGCGCGAUACAGGGUGACAGCCCCGUACACAAAAAUGCACAUGCUGUGAGCUCGAUGAGUAGGGCGGGACACGUGGUAUCCUGUCUGAAUAUGGGGGGACCAUCCUCCAAGGCUAAAUACUCCUGACUGACCGAUAGUGAACCAGUACCGUGAGGGAAAGGCGAAAAGAACCCCGGCGAGGGGAGUGAAAAAGAACCUGAAACCGUGUACGUACAAGCAGUGGGAGCCUCUUAAUGGGGUGACUGCGUACCUUUUGUAUAAUGGGUCAGCGACUUAUAUUCUGUAGCAAGGUUAACCGAAUAGGGGAGCCGAAGGGAAACCGAGUCUUAACUGGGCGUUAAGUUGCAGGGUAUAGACCCGAAACCCGGUGAUCUAGCCAUGGGCAGGUUGAAGGUUGGGUAACACUAACUGGAGGACCGAACCGACUAAUGUUGAAAAAUUAGCGGAUGACUUGUGGCUGGGGGUGAAAGGCCAAUCAAACCGGGAGAUAGCUGGUUCUCCCCGAAAGCUAUUUAGGUAGCGCCUCGUGAAUUCAUCUCCGGGGGUAGAGCACUGUUUCGGCAAGGGGGUCAUCCCGACUUACCAACCCGAUGCAAACUGCGAAUACCGGAGAAUGUUAUCACGGGAGACACACGGCGGGUGCUAACGUCCGUCGUGAAGAGGGAAACAACCCAGACCGCCAGCUAAGGUCCCAAAGUCAUGGUUAAGUGGGAAACGAUGUGGGAAGGCCCAGACAGCCAGGAUGUUGGCUUAGAAGCAGCCAUCAUUUAAAGAAAGCGUAAUAGCUCACUGGUCGAGUCGGCCUGCGCGGAAGAUGUAACGGGGCUAAACCAUGCACCGAAGCUGCGGC